rnacentral:rRNA from 1 species
GAUGAACGCUAGCGGCGUGCCUAACACAUGCAAGUCGAACGUGAGGAAGACUUCGGUCUUCUGAAAGUGGCGGACGGGUGAGUAACGCGUGGGUAACCUGCCCUAUACACACGGAUAACAUACCGAAAGGUAUGCUAAUACGAGAUAAUAUAAGAGAUUCGCAUGGAUUUCUUAUCAAAGCUGAGGCGGUAUAGGAUGGACCCGCGUCUGAUUAGCUAGUUGGUAAGGUAACGGCUUACCAAGGCGACGAUCAGUAGCCGACCUGAGAGGGUGAUCGGCCACAUUGGAACUGAGACACGGUCCAAACUCCUACGGGAGGCAG